AAGGAAUAUUGGUCAAUGGACGAAAGUCUGAACCAGCCAUGCCGCGUGCAGGAUGACUGCCCUAUGGGUUGUAAACUGCUUUUAUAUAGGAAGAAAAACUUUCUCGUGAGAAAGCUUGACGGUACUAUAAGAAUAAGGAUCGGCUAACUCCGUGCCAGCAGCCGCGGUAAUACGGAGGAUCCAAGCGUUAUCCGGAAUCAUUGGGUUUAAAGGGUCCGUAGGUGGACAAAUAAGUCAGAGGUGAAAUCCUGCAGCUCAACUGUAGAACUGCCUUUGAUACUGUUUGUCUUGAGUUAUUAUGAAGUGGUUAGAAUGUGUAGUGUAGCGGUGAAAUGCAUAGAUAUUACACAGAAUACCGAUUGCGAAGGCAGAUCACUAAUAAUCAACUGACACUGAUGGACGAAAGCGUGGGUAGCGAAC
rnacentral:rRNA from 1 species